GACGCUACGGACUUGGAAAAUCCGUCGAAUUUAAAAAUCGUGAGGGUUCAAGUCCCUCUAUCCCCA
rnacentral:tRNA from 1 species